rnacentral:rRNA from 2 species
AAAUUGAAGAGUUUGAUCAUGGCUCAGAUUGAACGCUGGCGGCAGGCCUAACACAUGCAAGUCGAACGGUAACAGGAAGCAGCUUGCUGCUUUGCUGACGAGUGGCGGACGGGUGAGUAAUGUCUGGGAAACUGCCUGAUGGAGGGGGAUAACUACUGGAAACGGUGGCUAAUACCGCAUAACGUCGCAAGACCAAAGAGGGGGACCUUCGGGCCUCUUGCCAUCAGAUGUGCCCAGAUGGGAUUAGCUAGUUGGUGAGGUAACGGCUCACCAAGGCGACGAUCCCUAGCUGGUCUGAGAGGAUGACCAGCCACACUGGAACUGAGACACGGUCCAGACUCCUACGGGAGGCAGCAGUGGGGAAUAUUGCACAAUGGGCGCAAGCCUGAUGCAGCCAUGCCGCGUGUAUGAAGAAGGCCUUAGGGUUGUAAAGUACUUUCAGCGGGGAGGAAGGUGUUGUGGUUAAUAACCGCAGCAAUUGACGUUACCCGCAG